AAUUUUCUUACUAUUUCUUUUCAAAUUUGGGUGUAUUCAGGGCGAGCCGCAAGCAGUGGCCUACAUGUUUAUGCCUUUAUCACCUAUAUUAGGCUAUGGAAGCAUUGAUGUACUUCUUCAUAAAACUAUGAACAAUUUAGGGGGCCCUUGUUUUCAGAUGUCAUGGCAAGGAGGGGCCAGGGUCUGGUGCUACUGCCAGGACGUCAUAUUAGAUUAUAGAAUUUCAGUGAGAUCAUGUAGUGUGAUGUGAGAAAUGCCUUCUUCAUGGACAAGAGGUAGUGAUGUAUUGGUCUCAAUAUUUUUUGAAACUUGAGUCAAUUCCUCUUGCAAGUUAAGAAUGAGGACAUUAUUGCUCAUUAUGAAGGAUAGGAAAGUUAACUGAUAAAUGAGUGUCCGCAUUGUCAUCAGGGUGCCGGCAGCGUAUUCAACACUGGUGGACUCAACUGUUUGGCAAAUUUCAAGUAUG